GGGGCGGUAGCUCAACGGCGGAGCAGCGUCCUUAUAAGACGAAGGUUGAUGGUUCGAAUCCAUCCCGCCCCA
rnacentral:tRNA from 1 species